AUUGAACGCUGGCGGCAGGCUUAACACAUGCAAGUCGAGCGAGCGGCGGACGGGUGAGUAAUGUCUGGGAAACUGCCUGAUGGCGGGGGAUAAAUACUGGAAACGGUAGCUAAUACCGCAUACCAUCAGAUGUGCCCAGAUGGGAUUAGCUAGUAGGUGGGGUAAAGGCUUACAUAGGAGACGAUCCCUAGCGGGUCUGAGAGGAUGAACGGCGACACUGGAACUGAGCAACGGUCCAGACUCCUAGGGGAGGCAGCAGUGGGGAAGAUUGCACAAUGGGCGAAAGCCUGAUGCAGCCAUGCCGCGUGUGUGAAGAAGGCCUUCGGGUUGUAAAGCACUUUCAGCGAGGAGGCGUUACUCGAAGAAGAAGCACCGGCUAACUCCGUGCCAGCAGCCGCGGUAAUAC
rnacentral:rRNA from 1 species